CGUGACGUCAUUUGUCCCUGCGCUCAGUUGGCGUGCCAACGUUUUUCCCGCGCAGAUUUUCAACUGGUGACUUUACUGCAAGCUUAGCUAAUUUAGUUGAAGCUAAACUAGCUUUCAUUACUAUAUUUACAUAUAUUUCAAAACGUUUGAAACAAAAGAAGGAUUUUUACUUUGAUAGCCUAUUCUAUUUGAAAAUAGGUCAGUAAAUUGAUUUCACACCUGGCACUAGAUUGGUAACAGUGGUUAGCAGUUAGCUAGCUAACGGUCGCGUAGGCUAAAGUUGUCAUUUGAACCAGUUCUUUGGCACAUUUAUUUUCUUUAUUGACGACCAGCAAGAAAUGGCAAUGCACAAGAGACAUGCUCAGAAAGGCAAAGCAAAAGGCACUCUAUAACCAACUCAGGCAAACCCUAUAUGGAGGACUUCAAUGAGCGUUUCAACAAUGAAAACCUGCCAGUAGUUGAGGCAGAGGCAUUGAGAGGAAGGAAACAUCUGUCAGAGCCAGAUGAUGAUAUUGACAUCACCAAAGGAGGGGAUAUGAUGACCAUGUUGGACAGAUUUUGAGAGUAUGUUCCAGCACCAGCAGAAGAUGUUUCAGCACAAGAGGGCCUCCCAGAGCCAGAGACUGAAGACUCUCAAGCAGCUGCUGGAGCAGUACAUCCAAGUAUAUUAUCUCAUAGUAGUCUUUAACAUGGUGAUUUUAAAUCUAUGUCUCAGCUGGUUUUCUCAUGCCACCUUGUUUUGCUGGGCUGGUAGAGCCUUGAUACGAUGGAGAAAGGGGUGCUGCACAGGGCGAGCUGCGCCAGGAGAUGGCACUGUUUCAGAAAAAGAUUCUCAGUGACACAGUAAGUAAAACGACAGAUCAAUUUACUAACUCAUUGUUCACGUGCCUUACGUUGGUUGACCCCUUUGCUUAGCCUUAGCGUUGCUAAGAAUACAAAUUGAUAUGUGCCAUUUUUGAAUAUUAGCGUACUAGGGGCAUGAGCACUAUGAGCAUGAACUGAGCUAUUUAGAAAAUACUUAUUUAACUGUUCUAUUUAGAACGUUUCAUUUAGUUCAACAGACAAUACAUUUUUUAUUAACGGCAACAGCAAGAGAUGGCUACAGUGCGCAAGUCUCUGCAGACGAUGCUGAUGUAGGAUCUUCAGAAUGCAGGGAGCUGAGAAGAAUCAACUCCAUCCAAAUGCUUGUUGUGUGUACAUAUCACUAAGCUGGGUUGCCUGUUCUACUUUAGUUUAUGGAUGUGUUUCAGAUAGAACUUUACAAUUCCCAGAUAAGUGUUAAACAUCUCAGGAACCACAUCUACCUGAUCCAGUAAUCUGCAAAUAACUGUUUUGAAAUCUUGUGUGUUGUGUACAUGUAACAUUGCAUUUCUGUUGUCAACUGCUUCAUUCAAAAGAUCAAGAUUGUGUCAGCUGAGGGUUCCAGACUGAAUGUGUUGAAGUCAAAGAGGGAUGUCAUUCACUUAGAAAUUCUUAUUUCUGUUUUCAUAUUUUUGAGUUCUGGUUUAAUAUGUUAAUCUACUUAAUUGAUCCCUGAUUAAGAGGGGGGUUAUGGAGAAAAUAAGACUUCUCGUUACUAAAAUGUUGUCAGGAAUUAAGACCAUCUGUUAUUGUAAAUAUACACUUAGGGACACCUUCCUAAUAUUGAGUUGCACUCCCUUUUGCCCUCAGAACAACCUCAAUUCGUCGGGGGAAUGGACUC